rnacentral:lncRNA from 1 species
CGGGGAUGGUGCCUUGGCGAGCCUGCUAGUCCGAGCCCUGGGGAUUCGUCCCGUCCUGCUCUCCGUUCAGUCAGCCGUUAUGUCCUUUCCGUGACCUCCUCCAGCAGGGUUUUAGUCAUAGCCAUCCACCCUAUGACUAAAUCAUGAAGAACGUCACAGAAUUAAGACAGCUAAAAUCAGGAAAGCAGAUGUGGAGGCAUUAGAAAGAAGACAGAGGUGGACCCUUCAUUUUGUUUGUUGUCAGGAACAUUGCUGCAGGGUCAGGUGUCUUCCUGCGCAGCGAUCUGUCUUGGACAGGAGGACUUGAGGGGGAGACCGGCAGACAGUCUGUUCUGUGCCGUGCUCGAGGGCCAGCAGCAGGGUGAGUUCUGUGCUGUGCUCCCAGAGCCAGCAGCAGGGCGCUCUGCGUAUGGUCCUUUUAAAGAUUUAAGGAUUGGGCUUUAGGUUCAGUCUGAGAGAAAGAUUGAUUGAUUUUAGCAUAUUG